CGACCCCAGGAUGGGCGAGUCCACCCGCCGAGUUUAAGCAUAUCAAUAAGCGGAGGAGAAGAAA
rnacentral:rRNA from 1 species